GAGCACAAGAACAACUCUAAAUCCCCAAGUAUAGGCAGACCACCCAUUAUGACUACAAGCCUUGACACAGACAGGCAGCAGCCAAUGAGCUGUUAAUCUUUUACCAUUCCCAUUUCUUAUUUGCAUAUGGGAGACCAACAAGGCAUAUUUUAAAAGCCACUGGCUGGGCUGGUAGGUGCAGAGGAAAUAAUUUCUUCUUUCAUAUGUAGCCCCUUUCAAAAGUUUUACCUUUACAAGUGGAGGUCAGAUUUUUAAAAGUCAAGGAAAUCAUGCAGCUGCUGCGUUCUGAAAGAAGAAACAUUUGAUAGCUGUGGAGCUCAGAGAUGAUGUACUAAUAGCCACAUGAUGGGUCAGUUGCCAUCCAGUAGAGUACCUGAGGGUGGAUUGCCAAGCUGUUAACAAUGGACAUUGGAAACAAAAAGAGCUAAUGGGUGGGUUGCUUUUUAAAAGGAGUGGGGCAAAUGGGUGGCUUCUAUGCUGAGUCAAAAUUCUUUGAGGAUGACCCUGCAUUAAGGGACUCAUCCUUUUAAAUAUGGAGUAUCUACUUAUCGUACCAGCAACCUUAGAUUGCAGCCUCCAGCUACUUACACUUGCAGUGGGUAAGCACAGGGAGGUGUAUACAUAAAGCUGUAUCCCUGCAGUAGGGGACAAGAUACCUUGGUACUUUAGGGCUCACCUGGAGGCCACUGUGACACACCGUACGGAAACCAUUGGUUGGCAUCUGUGUCUGUAUUGGGAGACAAUGGAGGAGUGCGCCUUUGGAAGGUUACAGCGCCUGUUGUGGCUAUAGAGACCAAUACAGGAGAGAGAUGCUUUAUUGCAGUUGGGCAGACGAAGGCAUACCAUGGUGCUGUUGCAGGUGUACCAUGGUGUUUCUUCUCUUUGUGCUCCUCCCAGCAAUCAUUCCUCCUCUGGUCACUGCUAUGGUCUGUCUUCAGGCGCUGCAGUCUGCAAGGGAUUCCCACACGGUGGGGUUUGAUGUUGCCUGCCUUCACAUCACAUUUGCAGACAUCUUCGUAAUGCAGAGCUGGUCUGCCAAUGGGCCUGGUGAGUAGGAAAUUGCCCAACUGUAUGUCUGCAAUGGCAGUUUUGUUCAGAUUAGAGUUAUCUGCUCUGCUUGUCUCCAUUUAAUGCUGUUUAUUCAUUAUUUUUAUUAUUUAUCAAAUUUAUAUACCGCCCUAUACCCGGAGGUCUCCUGUUACUGUUGAUCAUUUAAUUAACUUCUAUUAGAUUUUUUUUAGGGAUGCGGGUGGCGCUGUGGGUUAAACCACAGAGCCUAGGACUUGCCGAUCAGAAGGUGAGCAGUUCGAAUCCCUGCGACGGGGUGAGCGCCUGUUGCUCGGUCCCUGUUUCUGCCAACCUAACAGUUCGAAAAUGCAUCAAAGUGCAAGUAGAUAAAUAGGUACUGCUCCAGCGGGAAGGUAAACGGCGUUUCCGUGCGCUGGUCUGGUUCGCCAGAAGUGGCUUAGUCAUGCUGGCCACAUGACCCGGAAGCUGUACGCCGGCUCCCUCGGCCAAUAAAGCGAGAUGAGCGCCGCAACCCCAGAGUCGUCCACGACUGGACCUAAUGGUCAGGGGUCCCUUUACCUUUAUUCAGAUUUUUUAAUAUAAAGCACUGCCUCAUGCCACUGGCCCCUCUGGUAGGCAAGAUGAAGUUCCCUCGUGUCACAGAAAAAAUAUCCUUACUGGCAUUUAGGGAGUUAAAUCUAACUAAAACAUUGCACUCUAUUAUGUGGUAGCCGCUCAAAAUGCUUCUAUGUAGCUAAGUCACAUGGGUUGUAAUAAUAUUUAUUUACCAUAUGGACAGUUCCGAAGCACAUGGGGCAACUCUGCGCCAUCAGCCCCUUGGAACAGGCAGUGUUGGUUUUAAGACCAUCCACACAGAGUCAGGGUCAUCCACGUAGUAAGAGGAUUUCAGACAUUACAGUCCCUGCCUGGAAUGCUGCCAUGUGAAUUAGGAAUGGGCACAGCGUCUUUGCAUUAUCCGCACAGGUGAUGGCAUAUAAUUAUUGUAUUAUUGCCAUCAUGUUGUAACAAGGGGGAAUUUCAGGUUUGAGCACAUUAGCUUGGAGCGCAUCCCAUGUACAUUAUGUCAAAUGCUGCAGCCCAAAACACUUAGUCUUCACCUGGAAUAAGCCAUGCGGUAGAUUUAGAAAUUCAGUUUUUAAUUGCAGUCAGCUUUCCUGAUCUUCCUGCUGGUGGUUGGCAUCUCGUUAAAAAAUGCCACCCAGCAGUGUGCAGGCUUGGUGUCAAAGACUGUGUGCACGUCCCCAUCUGGCUCCAUAAUUACUACCUUCACAUCAGCAGAGGAAUGUUAAUAGGUAAUAUGUAAACACAAAAUCUUUUAUGUUUACCUAGUAAACAUCUGGAUGGAGAGCUUUGGAUAAUCUCCGAUUGGGCUAGAAAAACAAGGGUGGAACAGAAUCGUGGAGAAUGAAAGCAGGAGGACACCAGCAGAGCUCUGCAUGGGGGAAGGACUGGAGCGGCAAGGAGAAGGAGGCUUCUGAACAACUUUAGGGGCCAGCAGAACUCAAAUAAAAUAAGUCUAUGGCUAUAUUAGCAGCA